ACGGGGAGCAGCAGGCGCGAAACCUUYACACUGCACGCCAGUGCGAUAAGGGGACCCCGAGUGCGAGGGCAUACAGUCCUCGCUUUUCGUGACCGUAAGAAGGUCUCAGAAUAAGAGCUGGGCAAGACCGGUGCCAGCCGCCGCGGUAAUACCGGCAGCUCGAGUGAUAGCCACUUUUAUUGGGCCUAAAGCGUCCGUAGCCGGCCGAACAGGUCCGUCGGGAAACCCACUCGCUCAACGAGUGGACGUCCGGCGGAAACCAGUCGGCUUGGGGCCGGGAGACCAGAGAGGUACGUCCGGGGUAGGAGUGAAAUCCUGUAAUCCUGGACGGACCGCCGGUAGCGAAAGCGUCUCUGGAGAACGGACCCGACGGUGAGGGACGAAAGCUUGGGUCUCGAACCGGAUUAGAUACCCGGGUAGUCCAAGCCGUAAACGAUGCUCGCUAGGUGUGGCGUUGGCUACGAGCCAGCGCUGUGCCGUAGGGAAGCCGAGAAGCGAGCCGCCUGGGAAGUACGUCCGCAAGGAUGAAACUUAAAGGAAUUGGCGGGGGA
rnacentral:rRNA from 1 species